CUUUAGCAUCGAUCUCUGGUUUGUUAGGAAUAAGUUUAGUUUCAUAAGCUACACAGCUGUGUACCCAGGGAGGAAGUGGUGUACAGGGGGAGUGUGGUGUACAGGGGAAGGAGUGUGGUGUACACGAGGAGGAGUGUGGUGUACAGGGGGAGGAGUGUGGAGUACAGGGGGAGGAGUGUGGUGUACAGGGGAGAAGUGUUGAGUACAGAGGAGGAGUGUGGUGUACAGGGGGAGGAAUGUGGAGUACAGGAGGGGGGAGUGUGGUGUACACGGGGAGAAGUGUGGUGUACAGGGGGAGGAGUGUGGUGUACAGGGGAGGAAUGUGGAGUACAGGAGAGGGGAGUGUGGUGUACAGGGGGAGGAGUGUGGUGUACAGGGGAGGAAUGUGGAGUAC